AGAUAACGGGUUUUGUUCUCCUGGCACACCUCCUUUGACGGAAACCGUUAUGCGAGCUGACCAAUUAAAUCCUCGGCUUAUGACUCGGUUGUGGAACGCUUGGACUAUGCUCCCGCAGCAGCGUAGUGUACAUCUACUCCCUCGUUCAGAUAAUUCACUUGAGAAUUGUUUUGAUUAUUUUCAAUGCAAAAAAUUUGAAUUUUUUGUUCUUCAACAUCUAGGUCUUCCCUCCAAAAUUGGACGAUUAUUGUACAAUCGUUAAAUCUUUUCAGAAAAGUUGAGAGUAAGAGUUAAUUUC